rnacentral:lncRNA from 1 species
GUUUGUGGUAGAGCUAAUUCCAGGUUUUCAUCCUGGAUCCUGAAUCCUGCGUGGUUCCUCAGUACCAGGGGAGCUUGGAGAUGCCAAACUUCACGGGAAUUUUUGAGUCUCCAUAAAGGGACUCAAUGCACAUCAUCAAUGGUGCUUCUCCACAGCAGCCACCAUGUCUGUCCCAUCUGUGAGAGCUGGAUGCGCGCCCACCUUGGCCAGUGUGAUAACGACCCCCUAGUGCCUGCGGAGCAGCCCCGACAGCAGGAUGAGGGCCCACAGGGUCCCAUCUGCCCGCCCUGCGCCGACCGGCUGCACCUCUCCCUUGUGCACAGCGACACUUGGAGCUGCUCCGUGUGUCCCCUGGCCAGAGAGGGGACCCUGGCUCACCUCGUCCCCCCCGGCACCCCCAGCUGCCACGGCUGCCCCAUCUGCGCAGCACCCACCCAUGCGCACUUCUGCCAGGCACCCCACGGGUAAUUGCUGGUGGCUGUAGCACCCUGAGCGGCACAAAGCUGGCUGGAGGGAGGGGAGAGUUGCUACACUAACUCCUGACACUGUCAGGAUGAAGUUCUAAGUGCAGUAAAGGUGACCUGAAGUCAAGUGUGUGACUUCACCAUGAAGAAUUCCUUUGUGGAGAAGCAGGAAAAUCAAACAUCCUGACGAAUCCAGUGCCAUGUUGGUUUAGUAACUACUUUUUUGUUUGCUUUAGUAUGGAAAAAAACCCCUAUUUUUACAGCUUUUAAAAUAAGGCUUGAAAAAUCCAGUUUCUUUCCACUAGGAAAAUAAUUUCAUAGCAAACACUCUCAUUACACAAUCUUGCAAGAUUUCAUUGUAUUUUUUAACCAGUUUUUUACUGAUUUUUCUUCACUAGUGUGCAGAUACGAGUGUGAAAUGGCUGUAUUUACAGUAAAACUGUUCUGUAAAUAAAGGAAUAUCUAUAAUGUUUUAUAUCUAAUAUAAAAGAAGCAAUACUGGUAUCCUGAGGGUUGGGGUUUUUUCCAUAUUGACUAAUCAAACCUUCUCACAGAGCGCUUUAAAGGCUUUUGCAGUCUCAUUCUUUGCCAGAUGGAAUCAGGUAAUUGCUGCUGUUGUGGUGCAGUGUUGUCCUAGUGCCUGGCCCUUCCUAGGAACAAGGCGUUGCUGCUGGAGCAGGGCCUGUUUCCAGCCUUAUAUUGGGCAAUGUCAGGGAAGGGGAGUGCUCCUCUCCGGGUACUACCUUCCCUCAUCCCACCCGGAGUAUUCCCACACCCAAAACACCAGGCGGAAGCUCCAGUGACGGGCUCAAGGAUUAAACUAUCUGCUCGUUGUUGGUUUGUAGUCCUUGUACUCCUUUUGCGGACAAAAUUAAUAGUGAUGGUACAGAAGCUGUAAAAAUCACCCUUCUGCUUUGUUGGUGUUUGCCAAGA